rnacentral:misc_RNA from 1 species
UCCGGUUUGUCACCGGCAGUCCCAUUAGAGUGCUCAACUAAAUGUGGCAACUAAUGGCAAGGGUUGCGCUCGUUGCGGGACUUAACCCAACAUCUCACGACACGAGCUGACGACAGCCAUGCACCACCUGUGCAAGGCCCUUACGGACCUGGUAUCUCUACCAGAUUUCCCUGCAUGUCAAACCCAGGUAAGGUUCUUCGCGUUGCAUCGAAUUAAGCCACAUGCUCCGCUGCUUGUGCGGGCCCCCGUCAACUCCUUUGAGUUUUAGCCUUGCGGCCGUACUCCCCAGGCGGGGUGCUUAAUGCGUUAGCUACGGCACCGCAGGAGUCAAAGCCCGCGACACCUAGCACCCAUCGUUUACGGCGUGGACUAC